rnacentral:lncRNA from 1 species
UAACAUUUCUCAUCAAAGAGUGUUCUAUAGGGAAGAGAUAAAACCUAAACAGUCCCGGAAGCUGAGACAAGAAACUGAAAAAAAAAGGAAAGUGAGCAACAAGAUAAUGUAAGUCACAACUGAGCCAAUUAAGGAGCAGGAGAUGCAGCAGCAUGUCCCAAACAAAACUGAUUGGAGGUCAAGUGUGGACAACCAGAGCAAGUUCUUGCACAGCUAAUGUAUCCCCAGGUGUGAACUGAGUAACAUGAAGAAAGGCAUCCUCCUGCCACCUCCUGGAAUCAGUAGAAAAAGACAAAAGCUUUUGAUGGGAUUAUGCUGGAGUCCAUGUCAUGGAACCAAACUGGAAAUUUUCUGGGCAUGAUUUUAGGCGUUUUGCAUGAACUCUAAUUCAUUGAAAUGUAACAACCUUAUAAGGGUUCCAGGUGUGUCUUAGUUUUGAAGCUUCACAGCA